rnacentral:rRNA from 1 species
AACGAACGCUGGCGGCAUGCCUAACACAUGCAAGUCGAACGAGACCUUCGGGUCUAGUGGCGCACGGGUGCGUAACGCGUGGGAAUCUGCCCUUGGGUUCGGAAUAACAGUUGGAAACGACUGCUAAUACCGGAUGAUGACGUAAGUCCAAAGAUUUAUCGCCCAGGGAUGAGCCCGCGUAGGAUUAGCUAGUUGGUGGGGUAAAGGCCUACCAAGGCGACGAUCCUUAGCUGGUCUGAGAGGAUGAUCAGCCACACUGGGACUGAGACACGGCCCAGACUCCUACGAGAGGCAGCAGUGGGGAAUAUUGGACAAUGGGCGAAAGCCUGAUCCAGCAAUGCCGCGGGAGUGAUGAAGGCCUUAGGGUUGUAAAGCUCUUUUACCCGGGAUGAUAAUGACAGUACCGGGAGAAUAAGCCCCGGCUAACUCCGUG